CGCUUUGCACAGUGGCGGUAUUGUAGCCAAUGAGGUUUAUCCAAGGCGCAAUUAUUGCUAAUUGAAAACUUCUACUCAAAGAACACAGGAUUAUAGUGAUAAUAGUUAGAUGUUACUUAUUCUGAUAUUUAAAAGUU
ensembl:snRNA U4 U4 spliceosomal RNA